rnacentral:rRNA from 1 species
GAUGGGGGGUCCAAGCGUUGUUCGGAAUCAUUGGGCGUAAAGCGUGUGCAGGUGGUUUGGUAAGUUGGAUGUGAAGGCCCCGGGCUUAACCCGGGAAGUGCAUUCAAAACUACCAAACUUGAAUAUGGAAGAGGGUCGUGGAAUUCCUGGUGUAGCGGUGAAAUGCGCAGAUAUCAGGAGGAACACCAAUGGCGAAGGCAGCUCGCUGGGACGGUACUGACGCUGAGACGCGAAAGCGUGGGGAGCAAACAGG